rnacentral:rRNA from 1 species
GAUGAACGCUGGCGGCGUGCCUAAUACAUGCAAGUCGAGCGAACAGACGAGGAGUUUGCUCCUCUGACGUUAGCGGCGGACGGGUGAGUAACACGUGGAUAACCUACAUAUACGACUGGGAUAACUUCGGGAAACCGGAGCUAAUACCGGAUCACAUGUUGAACCGCAUGGUUCAACAGUGAAUGACGGUCUUGCUGUCACUUAUAGAUGGAUCCGCGCCGCAUUAGCUAGUUGGUAAGGUAACGGCUUCCCAAGGCAACGAUGCGUAGACGACCGGAGGGGGUGAUCGGCCACACUGGAACUGAGACACGGACCAAACUCCUGCGGGAGGCAGCAGUAGGGAAUGUUCCGCAAUAGGCGAAAGCCUGACGGAGCAACGCCGCGUGAGUGGAGAAGGUCUGCGGAUCGUAAAACUCUGUUAUUAGGGAAGAACAAAUGUGGAAGGAACUAGGCACGGCUAGACGGUACCUAAUCAGAAAGCCACGGCUAACUACGUG